GUAUUUGUUAUAAUUUUAGAAAGCGACCAACUAUUGAGGAGUGUUUUGAAAACAAAUGGCUAAUUCCAAGUGAAUUUAUGAUAAGAAAGCGAGAACAUGCCAUAUUUCUUACUCAUCGCAUCCAUGAAUUUUCUGAACAGUUUCAUGCACAGAAAAGAUUGUCUAGUCCACCUGCUCUACUUAAUAUGUUUGGAAUGUCUAUCUCCAAAUCUGUUUCUCUGGAGACAGAUACGCUGGAAGAAUUUUGAAAUGAAUCAAAUAAGAACUACAGGUUUAAAAUGAAAUUAAAAAGCACAACCAAAUAAAUAUGCCUUCACCGUGAUAUUAUGAAUGUACAAAGUGAACCAGCAACAAUUCACCGGAAUAUUUGUGACUUCUGCUACAAAAUUAUGUAUUUGAUGAAGUUGUGUGGCCAUAGAGAAUGUGAAGAAUGUAGUUCUUGUAACAUCUUUUAUUUAAUAUUGUCUAAAAUAUAUUUCUAAAAGAAAUAACGUUAUUUCUUUGCAGAUAUAAUUUCGAAAUAAACUUAUUUAAACAUCUG